rnacentral:rRNA from 1 species
GAUGAACGCUGGCGGUAUGCCUAACACAUGCAAGUCGUACGAGAGUUUUUAACUCUAGUGGCGGACGGGUGAGUAACACGUGAGAAUUUGCCUUUAGGAGGGGGACAACAAUUGGAAACGAAUGCUAAUACCCCCAUAUGCUUUCGAGUGAAAUGGAUUUUAUCCGCCUAGAGAGAAGCUCGCGGCUGAUUAGCUUGUUGGUAAGGUAAGAGCUUACCAAGGCGACGAUCAGUAUCUGGUUUGAGAGGACGAUCAGACACACUGGAACUGAGACACGGUCCAGACUCCUACGGGAGGCAGCAGUGGGGAAUUUUCCGCAAUGGGCGAAAGCCUGACGGAGCAAUACCGCGUGAGUGAUGAAGGCCUUAGGGUUGUAAAGCUCUUUACCAGGGAUGAUAAUGACAGUACCUGGAGAAUAAGCUCCGGCUAACUCCGUG